rnacentral:pre_miRNA from 1 species
GUGGGUAUCAGGUCUCAUUUAGUGGGUAUCAGGUCUCAUUUAGUGGGUAUUAGUCUCAUUUAGUGGGUAUCCCACUGAAUGAGACCUGAUAUUCACUAAAUGAGACCUGAUAUCC